AAUAAACGUUGGCGGUGCGCCUUAUGCAUGCAAGUCGAACGGGGUUAUGGUCUUCGGAUUGUAACCUAGUGGCGAACGGCUGAGUAACGCGUAAGCAACCUGCCUUGGAGUAGGAAAUAACUUGCCGAAAGGCGAGCUAAUGUCCUAUGUGGUAAUGAAGCAAAUGCUUGGUUAUUAAAGCCUUAGGGUGCUCCUAGAGGGGCUUGCGUCUGAUUAGCUAGUUGGCAGGGUAAUGGCCUACCAAAGCGAUGAUCAGUAGCUGGUCUGAGAGGAUGGUCAGCCAGAUGGGGACUGGGACACGGCCCCAACUCCUACGGGAGGCAGCAGCAAGGAAUUUUGGGCAAUGAGCGAAAGCUUGACCCAGCGACACCGCGUGAGGGAAGAAGGCCUUCGGGUUGUAAACCUCUUUUCUUGGGGAAGAAUUUUGACGGUACCCAAGGAAUAAGCCUCGGCUAACUACGUGCCAGCAGCCGCGGUAAUACGUAGGAGGCGAACGUUAUUCGGAUUUACUGGGCGUAAAGGGAGCGUAGGCGGUUCCUUAAGUCAGAUGUGAAAUCUUCUGACUCAAUCAGAAGGCGUCAUUUGAUACUGGGGGACUUGAGAGCAACAGAGGGAAAUGGAAUCCCCGGUGUAGCGGUGAAAUGCGUAGAUAUUGGGGAGAACACCAGUGGCGAAGGCGAUUUCCCAGGUUGUUUCUGACGCUGAGGCUCGAAAGCGUGGGGAGCGAAGCGGAUUAGAUACCCGCGUAGUCCACGCCCUAAACGGUGGACACUAGAUAUAGGAGGUAUCGACCCCCUUCUGUGUCGAAGCUAACGCCUUAAGUGUCCCGCCUGGGGAGUACGGCCGCAAGGCUUGAAACUCAAAGGAAUUGACGG
rnacentral:rRNA from 1 species